CGGGACGUGGCUCAGUUUGGCAGAGCACUGCGUUCGGGACGCAGGGGUCGCAGGUUCAAAUCCUGCCGUCCCGACCA
rnacentral:tRNA from 1 species